rnacentral:rRNA from 1 species
UCGAAGGUAGCAUAAUCAGUAGUCUUUUAAUUGGAGGCUGGAAUGAAUGGUUGGACGAAAUAUUAACUGUUUCAUUAAAAUUUUUAUUAGAAUUUUAUUUUUUAGUAAAAAAGCUAAAAUUUAUUUAAAAGACGAGAAGACCCUAUAAAUCUUUAUAUUUAAUUUAUUAUAAUUUUUGAAGAAUUUUUUUUUUAUAAUAAUAAAUAAUAUUUUAUUGGGGUGAUAUUAAAAUUUGACAAACUUUUAAUUUUUUUAACAUUAGUUAAUGAUUAAUUGAUCCGUUAAUAACGAUUAAUAAAAUAAGUUACUUUAGGGAUAACAGCGUAAUUUUUUUGGAGAGUUCUUAUUGAUAAAAAAGAUUGCGACCUCGAUGUUGGAUUAA